AGCGAACUGAUUAGAAGCUUGCUUCUAUGACGUUAGCGGCGGACGGGUGAGUAACACGUGGGCAACCUGCCUGUAAGACUGGGAUAACUUCGGGAAACCGAAGCUAAUACCGGAUAGGAUCUUCUCCUUCAUGGGAGAUGAUUGAAAGAUGGUUUCGGCUAUCACUUACAGAUGGGCCCGCGGUGCAUUAGCUAGUUGGUGAGGUAACGGCUCACCAAGGCAACGAUGCAUAGCCGACCUGAGAGGGUGAUCGGCCACACUGGGACUGAGACACGGCCCAGACUCCUACGGGAGGCAGCAGUAGGGAAUCUUCCGCAAUGGACGAAAGUCUGACGGAGCAACGCCGCGUGAGUGAUGAAGGCUUUCGGGUCGUAAAACUCUGUUGUUAGGGAAGAACAAGUACGAGAGUAACUGCUCGUACCUUGACGGUACCUAACCAGAAAGCCACGGCUAACUACGUGCCAGCAGCCGCGGUAAUACGUAGGUGGCAAGCGUUAUCCGGAAUUAUUGGGCGUAAAGCGCGCGCAGGCGGUUUCUUAAGUCUGAUGUGAAAGCCCACGGCUCAACCGUGGAGGGUCAUUGGAAACUGGGGAACUUGAGUGCAGAAGAGAAAAGCGGAAUUCCACGUGUAGCGGUGAAAUGCGUAGAGAUGUGGAGGAACACCAGUGGCGAAGGCGGCUUUUUGGUCU
rnacentral:rRNA from 1 species